UGCAUCGUGAGCGAGGGGGAGAACCAUGUAGGGCAGCAACGGAAUGAGUCCACCAACAGCAUACGAUAGCCCAAUGGCCGCCGCUGAUCGGAGGGGCCUCUUAGGAUC
rnacentral:ribozyme from 1 species